rnacentral:misc_RNA from 1 species
AACCCUUCAAGCAUUGCUUGGUGUUGGGUGUUUGUCUGUACCGACGGUGUAGACUUGCCCUAAAAGCAUUGGCAGUAGUUUUGCCGGCCUCUCGCGCAGCACUUUGCGCUUUCUGAGGAAACCGGUAGGCUUGACUUCCACCAAGAUCUUUACUA